CUGCUGCCUUCCGUAGGAGUCUGGGCCGUGUCUCAGUCCCAAUGUGGCCGAUCAACCUCUCAGUCCGGCUACUGAUCGUCGACUUGGUGGGCCGUUACCUCACCAACUAUCUAAUCAGACGCGAGCCCAUCUUUCAGCGAUAAAUCUUUGGUACCAAAAGGAUGCCCUUCCGGCACGUUAUGCGGUAUUAGCAGUCGUUUCCAACUGUUGUCCCCCACUGAAAGGCAGGUCGCUCACGUGUUACUCACCCGUCCG
rnacentral:rRNA from 1 species